rnacentral:rRNA from 1 species
AGCGCCUACGGGACGCAGCAGUGGGGAAUAUUGCACAAUGGGGGGAACCCUGAUGCAGCGACGCCGCGUGAGUGAAGAAGUAUUUCGGUAUGUAAAGCUCUGUCAGCAGGGAGGAAGAAAGACGGUACCUGACCAAGAAGCCCCGGCUAACUACGUGCCAGCAGCCGCGGUAAUACGUAGGGGGCAAGCGUUAUCCGGAUUUACUGGUUGUAAAGGGAGCGUAGACGGCAGGGCAAGUCUGGAGUGUAAGGCAGGGGCCCAACCCCUGGACUGCUCUGGAAACUGUCCGGCUGGAGUGCAGGGGG